rnacentral:tRNA from 1 species
AAGAAAUUAGUUAAUUUAUAAUUUGAGUUUGUCAAACUCAAGUUGCCUCUGUGGUAUUUCUUU